AUGGCUGCCGGCGGCAGAAUGAUGGAGAAGGAGCGGGAGAAGCAGGAGCUGCUCGGCCGCGCUAGCGCCGGUGAGAUCUUCCAGCGUGCGCCGACGGACAAGCCGGCAUUCACGCUGGCCCAGAUCAAGAAGGCAAUCCCGCCUCACUGCUUCCAGUGCUCGGUGAUCAGGUCCUUCUACUAUGUGGUCUAUGACCUUGUCAUCAUCGCGUCCCUCCUGUACGCCGUGUUGGUCUGGAUCCCAGCACUCCCGAGCAUGCAACAGCUGGGCGCUUGUCCGCUCUACUGGGUCGUGCAGGGCUGCGUCAUGAACGGCAUCUGGGUGAUCGCCCACGAGUGCGGCCACCACGCCUUCUCCGACUACUUGCUGCUCGACAACAUGGUCAGAAGCUCAUUAUCGUCUUGUCUAGCAUUGCUAUUAUUCUGA
rnacentral:rRNA from 1 species